UAAGUUAGUAGUGAAAGCGUGUGGCUCAACCAUACUCACAUUACUAAAACUGCUCAGCUUGAAGAUGAGAGAGGUCACUGGAAUUCCAAGUGUAGGAGUGAAAUCCGUAGAUAUUUGGAGGAACACCGAUGGCGUAGGCAGGUGACUGGCUCAUUCUUGACACUAAGGCACGAAAGCGUGGGGAGCAAACGGGAUUAGAUACCCCGGUAGUCCACGCCGUAAACGAUGGAUGCUA
rnacentral:rRNA from 1 species